rnacentral:tRNA from 1 species
GGAAAUGUUAACGUUGGCAGCGUGGAAGGCUCUUGAAAAGCCUACGCCGGUGAAACGGCGCGUCGGUUCGAAUCCGACCAUUUCCGC